rnacentral:rRNA from 1 species
AGAGUUUGAUCAUGGCUCAGAACGAACGCUGGCGGCAGGCCUAACACAUGCAAGUCGAGCGCCCCCUUCAGAGGACAAAGUGGUUUCGGUUUUGGGAGGAAACUUCCGAGGCUGGGAUUGAUUUUGACUUCUGAUGGGGGGAGCGGCGGACGGGUGAGUAACGCGUGGGAAUUUUCCUCAAGGUACGGAACAACUCAGGGAAACUUGGGCUAAUACCGUAUGAUGUCUAGCGACCAAAGAUUUAUCGCCUUGGGAUAAGCCCGCGUCAGAUUAGGUAGUUGGUGGGGUAACGGCCUACCAAGCCUGCGAUCUGUAGCUGGUCUGAGAGGACGAUCAGCCACACUGGGACUGAGACACGGCCCAGACUCCUACGGGAGGCAGCAGUGGGGAAUCUUGCGCAAUGGGCGAAAGCCUGACGCAGCCAUGCCGCGUGAAUGAUGAAGGUCUUAGGAUUGUAAAGUUCUUUCGCCCGUGACGAUGAUGACGGUAACGGGAGAAGAAGCCCCGGCUAACUUCGUGCCAGCAGCCGCGGUAAUACGAAGGGGGCUAGCGUUGUUCGGAAUUACUGGGCGUAAAGCGCGCGUAGGCGGUUUUGCAAGCCAGAGGUGAAAUGCCUGAGCUUAACUUAGGAAUUGCCUUUGGGACUGCGAGGCUUUGAGGACGAGAGAGGAGUGGAAUUCCCAGUGUAGAGGUGAAAUUCGUAGAUAUUGGGAAGAACACCGGUGGCGAAGGCGGCUCACUGGCUCGUUUCUGNNNCUGUANNNCGAAAGCGUGGGGAUCAAACAGGAUUAGAUACCCUAGUAGUCC